UUUUUUUAUUUUUUUUAUUUCUUGCAAGCUGCCAUCACAAUUACAGGGUUACAAGUCAACCUGUGACCCACAACCAAAUAUUUCAAAUAAUGGUUUUCCGCCUAUCACUCAGAGCUUAAACUUUCAUGCCCUUACUUUACCCUAAAAGUUACUAGCCACUGCAAGCCCAUGGCACACUCAAAGGGGUGAAUGUAUACUAGCCAGGACUUAAUUUUUACUUACCUAUAGACUAGUGGCAAUUGGAAAUUUUUUGUCCUGUAUCACUUUUAGUAAGCCAUAACCCACAUAAUAAACACCGCACUGUUCUUACUACUGUUACAGUGUACGUGAAUGAAACAGCAAGAGGAUAUUCAGCACUUGUCCAGUACUGGUACAGUCCAUAGGGCAGCUGGGUCACCAAAUCCGGGGGUGGGAGUGCAGCACAAUUUAGACGCUUUGGCUUAAUAAUCCCCGCCUUAGGAUAUGGUGGAGUACAGACUUUUUAGGAGGUUCUUGUGGAUGCAGAUUUGAUAGAGUAAGUAUGGAUUUUUCUGUCCGACAGGCUUAGAUGGUAUUAUCCCCACCAAGGAUAUGGAGUACAGGAAUCCAGCAGCAGACAGGUCCAAUAAAAAUACUUUUAUUGAUUUAAAAAAAAACAAAGGGUGAAAACUAUAUAAAACAAUAUUAACCCCUUAAGGAC